UGACAGGAGAGGAGAGGGAUGGUUCUCCACAAGACGCGCCUAAGGGAGGAGGACAGGGCUUAUGAUGGUACAUUGGGCCUGACCUGGGAUCACUGCAGUAUAACAGCCAUUUGGCCUGCUGAAGUGCCCUUGAGCAAGAAACUCUGGGUAACAGCAUCAGUACAGGUCUCAACAGCUGGACGUGCCCUGAACACCUCCAGAAGGAGGCGACUAGGGAGCAUCCUAAUCAGAUGCCCCAACUACUUCAACUGGAUCCCUAAGAAGCAGCAGUUCUACUCCAGGAUCCUUCUGUUGGUGUGGCCUAAUUUAUACUUUCUGCAUCCCUGUGGACUUAAGGGUCACUUGAGGUAAAUUCUGUUAUCUGGUCAUGUCUGUGAGGGUCCAGAUGCACCAUCCAUUUUGCAGCCAAAAAUGUAUGCCUUGAAUAAAACAAGUCCAAUCUUGUGUUUUCUGUCUACACAAAACCCACGAGCACAGGUGAGGUCUGGACCAUAAAUUGGCCUGUAAAUCAAGAGUGCCGGCCUCAGGUUAAACUCCCUCUUCAGUCUGGUAGAGCCAGUUUCAUCUUUCUUGCUAGAGUCCUCUGCAUCUAGACCCCUGCUGUGCCGGUACAGUGUUCUCCAUGCAGUGAUAAUGCCGGUCGGAAUGCAGCUAACUUGGAUCCUGUUGAGUAAAAUCAUUAGCUGAUAUGAUCUUUUUUAUACGUGGAUGUUCUGUUGAUGAAGUUUGGGCUUCUGUAGGUGGCACUCUUUUCCUUUUCAAGCCCUUGUGGCUGUCACUUUCAUACUAAACGAGAUGCAUCUUCUAGUUAUUCCAAACAAACUGCUCUUGUUGCUGCCAAAUACAAGACACAUUACUUCCCAUGACGCUACUUGUUCCAGAGGAUUCUUCAUGGGAACGAAUUACAUAAC